rnacentral:tRNA from 1 species
GGGACGAUAGCUCAGUUGGGAGAGCGUGCGAUUGAAGUUUACUUCGAAGAUCUUCGCAAGGUCGCUGGUUCGAUCCCGGCUCGUCCCA